GACGGAGGAUGCAAGCGUUAUCCGGAAUGAUUGGGCGUAAAGCGUCCGCAGGUGGCAGUUCAAGUCUGCUGUCAAAGACCGGGGCUUAACUUCGGAAAGGCAGUGGAAACUGAACAGCUAGAGUAUGGUAGGGGCAGAGGGAAUUCCUGGUGUAGCGGUGAAAUGCGCAGAUAUCAGGAGGAACACCGGUGGCGAAGGCGGGUCUCUGGGCAAUAACUGACGCUGAGGAGCGAAAGCGUGGGGAGCGAACAGG
rnacentral:rRNA from 1 species